GUCCGCGGCGCGGGGCACGCCGGGACGCGGGAGGCUGGUUCCGCGGCCGGCCGGGAGCCCGAGACCCGUUACACCGCCGGGGCGAGCGGCGCGGCACGGCGGGGGCCGAGGCUCCGGGAGCCGCCGGCGCCGCCAGGGCUGCUGCAGAGGAUGAACUGGGAUUCAAAGUAGAUUACCUUCAUCCUUCCUUCUGGUGCUGCCAGGCAUAGAAAAAAAACAGGAAGCUUUGCAUCUGGAGUGAUACCUGUGCCUCACCUCAUUGUGGGCGUUGUGGCAGUAACACACCACAAACUGCCUUCUCACGGGACGUUCAUGUGAAAAAACAGCCGAAGAAAACCAUUACUUUUUUUAAUUAAUCAGUUACUGAACAUGGGACCUCUGAA